rnacentral:rRNA from 1 species
AGAGUUUGAUCAUGGCUCAGGACGAACGCUGGCGGCGUGCUUAACACAUGCAAGUCGAACGGAACUUGCACUUAGCACUCAAUGUUUUUAGUAGGAAGCCAAAGGUGUUGGCGACAGCGUUAACUGCGAACAAAGUUCGCAUACGCCAACCAAAAAACUAACAACAAACCAGAACGCUUCCAAGCAGCAGGUGGUAAGGCUGGAGAUGUAGCGUAGCGAAUUUUGUUCACACACGCGUAUCAAAAAAAGCUAACCCAGGCAAGGGAAGAACAUUGAGAGCUGAGUGCAAGUUUAGUGGCGGACGGGUGAGUAACGCGUGGGCAACCUACCCAUAAGAGGGGGAUAACAGCUGGAAACGGCUGCUAAUACCGCAUAAGCUUUUUGAGACACAUGUUUUAGAAAGUAAAGGAGGCUUUAGGCUUCCGCUUAUGGAUGGGCCCGCGUCUGAUUAGCUAGUUGGUAGGGUAACGGCCUACCAAGGCGACGAUCAGUAGCCGGCCUGAGAGGGUGGACGGCCACACUGGGACUGAGACACGGCCCAGACUCCUACGGGAGGCAGCAGUGGGGAAUAUUGCGCAAUGGGGGAAAUCCUGACGCAGCGACGCCGCGUGAGCGAAGAAGGCCUUCGGGUUGUAAAGCUCUGUUGUAAGGGACGAAGGAUUGGGGUAGUAACUGACCCCAAGGUGACGGUACCUUACCAGCAAGCCCCGGCUAACUACGUGCCAGCAGCCGCGGUAAGACGUAGGGGGCGAGCGUUGUCCGGAAUUACUGGGCGUAAAGAGCACGUAGGCGGAUAUUUAAGUCAGGUGUGAAAGACCGCAGCCCAACUGCGGGGUUGCACAUGAAACUGAAUAUCUUGAGGGCAGGAGAGGUCAGUGGAAUUCCUGGUGUAGCGGUGAAA